rnacentral:rRNA from 1 species
ACGAACGCUGGCGGCGUGCUUAACACAUGCAAGUCGAACGGAAAGGCCUGCUUUCCCUUGUGGAUUGCGGGUACUCGAGUGGCGAACGGGUGAGUAACACGUGAGUGAUCUGCCCCCAACUUGGGUAUAAGCCUGGGAAACUGGGUCUAAUUCCCGAUAGGACUGCAGGGUGGUGCCUGUGGUGGAAAACGAUUUUCUAGUGGUUGGGGAUGAGCUCGCGGCCUAUCAGCUUGUUGGUGGGGUAAUGGCCUACCAAGGCGGCGACGGGUAGCCGGCCUGAGAGGGUGGACGGCCACAUUGGGACUGAGAUACGGCCCAGACUCCUACGGGAGGCAGCAGUGGGGAAUAUUGCACAAUGGGCGGAAGCCUGAUGCAGCGACGCCGCGUGGGGGAUGACGGCCUUCGGGUUGUAAACUCCUUUCGACCGCGAGGAAGCCACCUGGUUGGAAGGGUGGUGACGGUAGUGGUAGAAGAAGCACCGGCCAACUACGUG